GGGCUGCAGUAUAUUGACUGUACAAAGGUAGCAUAAUCAUUAGUCAUUUAAUUGAUGACUUGUAUGAAAGAUUGGAUGAAAUAUAAACUGUCUCUUUAUUAUUUAUAGAAUUUAAUUUUUUAAUUAAAAAGUUAAAAUAGAUUAAAAAGACGAGAAGACCCUAUAGAGUUUUAUAUUUAAAUUAAUUAAGAUUAUUUAUAAAAAUUUUAAUUAAAAUUAUUUUAUGUAUUUUGUUGGGGUGACAGAAAAAUAAAAAUAACUUUUUUUUUAAAAUAACAUAUAUAAGUGAUUUAAUGAUCCAUUAUUAUUGAUUAUAAGAAAAAAUUACCUUAGGGAUAACAGCGUAAUUUUUUUUUUUAGUUCAAAUAAAAAAAAGAGUUUGCGACCUCGAUGUUGGAUUAAGAUAAAAUUUAAAUG
rnacentral:rRNA from 1 species